CCCUUAGAUGUCCUGGGCCGCACGCGCGCUACACUGAUGCAUUCAACGAGUUUUACCUUGGCCGAGAGGCCUGGGCAAUCUUUUAAACCUGCAUCGUGAUAGGGAUAGAUUAUUGCAAUUAUUAAUCUUGAACGAGGAAUUCCUAGUAAACGCAAAUCAUCAAUUUGCAUUGAUUACGUCCCUGCCCUUUGUACACACCGCCCGUCGCACCUACCGAUUGAAUGGUCCGGUGAAGCCUCGGGAUUGUGGCCAGUUCACUUUAUUGGGAGUUGGCUGCGAGAACUUGUCUAAACCUGAUCAUUUAGAGGAAGGUGAAGGCGUAACA
rnacentral:rRNA from 1 species